rnacentral:rRNA from 1 species
UACGAAGGGGGCUAGCGUUGUUCGGAAUCACUGGGCGUAAAGCGCACGCAGGCGGAUCGUUAAGUCGGGGGUGAAAUCCCGAGGCUCAACCUCGGAACUGCCUUCGAUACUGGCGAUCUUUGAGUCCGGGAGAGGUGAGUGGAACUCCGAGUGUAGAGGUGAAAUUCGUAGAUAUUCGGAAGAACACCAGUGGCGAAGGCGGCUCACUGGCCCGGUACUGACGCUGAGGUGCGAAGGCGUGGGGGAGCAAACAGG